rnacentral:lncRNA from 1 species
UUUCAGAGAAAAGGACCACAAACUGAAAACUUUCCACUUCAUCGAACCAAUCGCUGCUCGUAUGUCCUUUCAUGGUAAAGUACAUCUAGUCAUGAACAAAGAAAUACACAGCAAAGACCUUGUUACUCAAAGACCCAGCUACUCUCUGACAGUCACCAUCACACCAUCAGACCACCAGAUGGACAGGCUGUAUGUCACUCUGAUUGCAUUCUUAUGUGCUGUUUCCUCCAGUCAGUUCAUCCUAACACUGUUCCUCUGCUACCUGUAGGUGCUGUUUCCUCCAGUCAGUUCAUCCUAACACUGUUCCUCUGUUACUUGUAGGUGAUGUUUCCUCCAGUCAGUUCAUCCUCUAUAGUGACUGUAGAACAACAAAUGCAAUGUACACAGUCUGGUUCAGGAAUUGGUCUCAUGAGCACCAGCCUCCUCUUGUUAUUACAUAUGUUAUUACAUAUUAUGAGAACAUCACUGCAUCUGACCUGGGACUCUACUACUGUGCUCCAACUGAGACUCAGGGGAG